CUACGGGAUGCACCAGUAAGGAAUAUUGCGCAAUGGAGGCAACUCUGACGCAGCCAUGCCGCGUGCAGGAAGAAGGCCUUAUGGGUCGUAAACUGCUUUUAUUUAGGAAUAAACCCCCGAACGUGUUCGGGGCUGAAGGUACUAAACGAAUAAGCACCGGCUAACUCCGUGCCAGCAGCCGCGGUAAUACGGAGGGUGCAAGCGUUAUCCGGAGUUAUUGGGUUUAAAGGGUGCGCAGGCGGGCUAUUAAGUCAGUGGUGAAAUCCCGGGGCUCAACUCCGGAACUGCCAUUGAUACUGAUAGUCUUGAGUUUGGUUGAAGUGGGCGGAAUGUAGCAUGUAGCGGUGAAAUGCAUAGAUAUGCUACAGAACACCAAUCGCGAAGGCAGCUCACUAAGCCAAAACUGACGCUCAUGCACGAAAGCGUGGGGAUCAAACAGGAUUAGAUACCCGUGUAGUC
rnacentral:rRNA from 1 species